GGUUUUACUAUAAAAAAAAUAAAAAAAUAAACAAACAAAUAAAUAGAGAUUCAUAACCCAUUUAUUGAACAUAUAACUAUUACAAUGAUUAACCAUUGCAAACAUAAAUAAUUGGCCAGCUAUUAAUGAGCUGGGAAGGGCCCCACUCGUCAAAAAAAUUUGUUCAUUUUUCUGCCACGAAAUUCUUGGAAGGAACUUGUUAUUAAGCCUACGUAAUUGAACAUUUUUUUCUUCUAAUGUUUGAAUUCUAUUCUAAGAGACGGCAGAAAUUAUUACUAUCAUGUUAACAUUCAAAGAAAAAAUUAGUAAGAAGUUGGUUUUGGGCUUUGUUAGUAACGUGUGUAUAAUUGUAUAUACAUUCAUUGACAAAAUUACGGUGCAAUUGUGGUACCAUACCACAAUUGCACUCAGCUAUUAGAUCCAGUCACAGUUGUCACCCUAACUGGAUCUAAUGGCUGAAAGCAGCAAUGGUAUCAUACCACAGUUGCACAAUGUCUGGACCCUAUAUUCACAUAAUAUAUUAUUCUAUGUAAUUCAUGUGUUUAUUUCUAUAUUUUAAGGGAAGAGUGGGCAUCCCGCUACAUAAGUCUCACCCAUUCCCACGUCUACCUCCCAUUUUUUGCAUUUCUUUUAUUAAAUUUAAUACAAUUAUAUUUA
rnacentral:lncRNA from 1 species